rnacentral:lncRNA from 1 species
GGCUGCAUGUAAAAGCAUCUCUUAGCCAAGAAAGUGGAAGAGACAGUGUCCUCCUGCUGCUCUUGGUUUGUGGUGUAUCUAUCUGCAGGACAUACAGAACUUGGUCUAGACAGCCUGGCUAAUUUAAAAGCCUUGGAAAUAGGAUCCUAUAAGGAGUUGUACAGGACAAAGUGCUCUUUGUCUUCCAAUAACAAAGUGUUGGAGUGACUUCAAGACCUGAUAUAUCUAGAGCUGGCC